AUCCUCACCCAUUCCCCCUCCCCCUCCGACACCCGGCAGGACCGACUGAAGACCUCAAAGUUCAUUUUUAAAUGUCUGGUUGACACAUGCAGCCUGUCGGUAUGAAUGUUGCAGCAGUCACAAUAUCAUCGUGCACAUGAGGACGUAGGGACGACGUGUACGUCUCUGGCAGAGACCUGUCAAUCACCAGGUAGCCCCGCCCUAAAGCACAUCCCACUUUAUGGUCCAUUUUGACUAAAUGAACAUCAUCCUCUAUUGAAGAAGACUUGAAACUAGAGAUCAUGAGACUAUGAACUCAUGUUUUAAAUCAAGAAAGAAGUAGAUUCAUUUCCUCAUAGACUUCUAUAGGACCAGAGGUGUCGCCCCCUGGUGGUCACUAGAAAGAAUGCAGCUGACAUGAAGCAUCUCAACCUUACUUUUCUGUUUGUUUCUUUAUAUUGAUACAUUUAUGUAUUGUAAGAAUUAUAUCAAUAACUCAUCCACCUGUCCGGCAGGUCAAGGCUCAUAGCCUCUUCUUUAGGGUUCAUCGCGUCGAUCCUGCUGCAGUCUGACAGCUCAUACACAUACACGCACACUUUUACCCUUUGAUGUACACUGCGGAGAUGCUGGGCAGGAAGCGGCGUUCGCUAAAGGGAAAGCGAUCCGCUCUCACGUGAAACACCGGAUGACUGACACAAGGACACAAAUCGUGCACGAGUCAGAUUUGAUGAAUUAUAGAAAAACCUCCAUAAAAACAGGCUUUCAGAGAUCUGCCGUUCUUCCCUCCGGAGGUCGAUAUCAAUUUUUAUCACAACGUGAUCUGCAGAAAAACAUCAGAGAGACACAUUCAAGCUAAUGUGUCUUUAAAUAUACAGUUAGUUCAAUAAUGUAUACAGACUUUUUAUUAUUUUUAGCCACAGCAUUGGAUAAACAAUGUCAUUCUGGUCAGGCUCUCUUCUUUACGUUUAGAUUGCUGUGUUUGAUUCGAAACAUUUUACUGUCUCCAGUUCUUAUUUCGGCUUCCAUCAUAAUACAAAAAAACUAUUGUUUGGAUUAACAUUAGAUCUAAACAUCAAGACAAUUACCACAUUUUAUAAAGUACCAAAAUGUCUAGAUUUCAGGACUAAAACAAACUAUAUUAUGGAUCUGUGGUAUUCAGAGUUGGCACUUUUCAGAAUGAACUGGAAAAGAAACGUAAUUUUCAGAGACCAAACCGUAACACGGUUAUAAUCGUUGAAUUAACACUUGUCUCUUAUGCAGGUGGGUCGAGUGGUUAUUCCAUACGUCCCACCCCCAUGAAGCUCUAUGGCCACAAUUAAUCUGUUGGGUUAAGUGCUUCUUCUGUCUUGUUUCCAGUAACAUCUGGUUCUGCAACGACGAGUCAAGCCGACAUUUCAUGUGUCAAAGCUGCAAUCUUGCUAGUGACCCCCAGGGGGCGACUCUUCUGGUCCUGUAGAGGUCUAUGAGUAAAUCACUCUACUUCUUUAUUUAUUCCCUCAGUAAACAUUGUAAACAUACAUGCAUGGUCUCAUCAUCUCUAGUUCCAAGUUUUCAUCAACAAAGCAUGAUGUUCAUUUAGUAAAUGUCCAUUUAGAGUCACAUAGACUAUAAGGCAAGGGAGGCUUUAGGGCGGGGCUACACAGUGAUUGACAGGUCUCCAAACCGGCGUUGUAUGAUCUGAAAGUUGUUUGUGUUUCAUCUUACAUCUUGAAGUCUUCAACAGUGUGUUUUUAGUUUGUAAAAGUUCAUUUUAACAAAAUGUUCUGAUUCAGGUGUUUAUUUGUAUUAGGCUCCACCCCCUCGUGUCAAUCAUUCCAAACCAAAGUUGGCAACAGUCCACUGACAGUCCACCAACCACCGGGUGACGACCACAUUCACUUUUUGUUUUAAAGAGACUUUGUGAGGACCAGCUUGUUGUGUCUGUUGGUAUUUCUGAGGAUGAAGAUUCUAUUUGACUUAUUUCUCUGUAGAAUAAUAAACUUGUAGAUUGACGUUGUUCCAUUUUACGCUGACUGAACUGAUCAAAAAUCCUUGAAGUUUUACGUGAAGAAAAUAGUUUCACAUCAUCACUCGUUUCUAUUUCUAAUCUCAUCAUUAAUUAAGACUUAACAAAAGCAUAUAUAACGCAGAUUGUGCUGCAAAAUAAUAACAGAAAUCUUUCUUAGACAAUAAAAAUAAAGAAAAAGUUAGAAAGCAUUCAUUUUGCACCUACAUCUGAAGUGUAAUUAAAACAUAUUGAAGGAUGAAUAUGAAUUGAAUAAAGAAAAUGUUAUAGAAGCUGUAGGCCAAAAUCUGUCGAGAAAUAUGACUUAAAAGCAAAAUCAGAAACAUUUUAUAAAUACUUACAUAUUGGGAAAAAACGAUAGAGACAAUACUCACCUCUGAUAUGUACUACAGUAAAAGUACAAUUUGUACCUCUGAGAUGAAAUGGAGGGUAAGACAGUACUCUGAUAUGUCCUCAAGGUGAGUAUUUGAGUCUCUUGAUGAUGUCACACAGGAAGUGACAGGAAAAGGAACUUAUGAACAAAUGAACAUAAUAACAUUAAAAUGUUAACAUACUAACAUGGCUGUGGAGGUGAACGACCUUUAAAGAUGUUAGGGUUAGGGGUUAGGCUUUCGCUGAAACGUAAAGAACCACUUGUGUGGCUCUUUUUCUUGCAUUAAAGGGGGAUUCAAAUGAAUAAUUGCAUUUAUUACACUUACAAAUACUUGUUUUCCUUUGAGUUUUUUUGGAAUACCUGAUGAGAAGUUUGUGUGCCUUCAGCGAGAGGCCUCCCGUCCACCUGUUUGAAGCCUCGGUGAGGGGUGAGGGUGGGGCGGGACGAAGUUACUCCGAUCGUAUCAAUUAAUACCAAUGAAGACCUUAAGUGACAACAUGGGGAGGCAUUAGGCCGACAAAGUGCGGCAGCUUUGUUCCUGCGGGGCGCCAGCUGCCGGCGCCGGGCCCAGAGGAACGCCAUCGCCACGCCGCCACGUUCUGCUCCGGUGCCGCGGCAGGGACGCGGCGGGCGGCGCGACGCAGCCGGGC
ensembl:lncRNA